GUCUCCGCGAGGAGGGGUCUGAAGGAAGCCCGAGCGCAAAGCUAUGAGCCGACGAACAGAAACAGCAUACAAGGCCGUCAUCCGGGCAAGUCAGCACAACAUGACGAAGUCCCACGGAUUCAGGAGAAGCGGUAAAUGCUGCGGUUGUGUAGCGACAGUUCACGUU
rfam:Geobacter sp. M18, complete genome.